rnacentral:lncRNA from 10 species
GAGGAAGAAAGCUUCCUGGAGUGCACUCCUUGGGAAGAGCCAGGAUCAACCAGAGACGGCAGAAGACAAUCAGUCCAUUCUUCAUAGUUCUGGGGGACACAGAGGGGCAAGUGCUGCCUGGAGGCAUCCAGCUAGCAUCUGACAAGAGGCGGGGCCAAGGCCUCCUGCUCCCUCACGAGGCCGCCCACUCAGCUGCCCAGUCUGACUCCCCAGGAUGUCUCACCUUGUGCCAGGGCCUGGGCAUCAGAGAAGAGGGUGGAAGUGGUCCCUGGGUGCAGAGUGGUGGGCUGGGAGGUGACAGUUGGAGGAACAGUGGCAGCACUGUCCUCUGCUUUGAACCUCCAGGGCCAGCCCAGAGCCUCUAGGCUAAAACCCCAACUCCUUGCUGGUCCCACUAGAACCUAUUGUCCUGACCCAUGCCACCUGCACCCCCAUCUCUAAUCCUCUCUCCUCAUGCUCUGGCCACAUGGCCUUUUUCUCUUUCCUCUCACCAUGGGGACUUUGAAAGCGUUGUUCCCUCUCUCUGGAGUCCCCACUUCUCUGGGUCAUUGUCUACUCCACCUUCUGGUGCUACGUUGAAUGUCACAUCCUGCAAGAAGCCUCUCCUGACUCCCUAGUCCAGACUAGACCAGGUCCCCACAGACCUUGUCACAGCAUUUGUCCCAGUUGUCAUUUUACAUUUGUUUGCAUGGUGGUUUGGUUUCUCCCUGUCUCAUCUGGACUCUGAGGUCUCCACCACGUAUUCCCCAUGCCUGGCGCAAUGUGUGGCAUGAAGUAGGCCCACAAUGCAUAUUCAUGGAAAGAAUAAAGAAUGUUGGCUCUCAGUUCAAAUCCUGGAACUUCUCCCUGAGCCUUGCUUUUUUCUUCUCUGAAAUGGGAAUGAUAACACCAAGAUUAGUGUGAGGGUGAGCCAAUGAAUGAAAAUCUCCUGGCCACACUCUGCCAAGAGUAAAGAGGGAGAUCGGGGUGGGGAGGGGGUGGUUGACGCCAGCUGCUUAGGGAUGGAAGGACUUGAGACGUGUGGAAACCAAAAGUGAUGGGGACAGGUGGGGAAAGACGUGGAGGUGGGGAGAUUGGAUGUGU